AUACCUUUCUCGGCCUUUUGGCUAAGAUCAAAGAUCAAUUGUAGUAUCUGUUCUUAUCACUUUAAUAUUUGAUACAUGGGCUAUUAGCCCACAUGAUAUUAACUCACUAUUUUUUAGGGGGAAGACCCAUUAAGGCAGCUUGCUGUCUGGGCUUUUGAGUGUUGCCUUGGUGUUGCACUAUUGUCUUGGCUUGGCGCACCCCAC
rnacentral:snRNA from 1 species